rnacentral:rRNA from 1 species
UACGUAGGGUGCAAGCGUUGUCCGGAAUUAUUGGGCGUAAAGAGCUCGUAGGCGGCCAGUUGCGUCUGCUGUGAAAACCCGAGGCUCAACCUCGGCCUGCAGUGGGUACGGGCAGACUAGAGUGCGGUAGGGGAGAUUGGAAUUCCUGGUGUAGCGGUGGAAUGCGCAGAUAUCAGGAGGAACACCAAUGGCGAAGGCAGAUCUCUGGGCCGAACUGACGCUGAGGAGCGAAGACGUGGGGAG